rnacentral:rRNA from 1 species
AGAGUUUGAUCCUGGCUCAGGAUGAACGCUGGCGGCGUGCCUAACACAUGCAAGUCGAACGGGGUUAAGUGAAAUUUUCGGAUGGACCUUAACUUAGUGGCGGACGGGUGAGUAACGCGUGGAUAACCUGCCUCACACAGGGGGAUAGCAGCUGGAAACGGCUGGUAAUACCGCAUAAGACCACGGCCCCGCAUGGAGCUGUAGUAAAAGAUUUAUCGGUGUGAGAUGGAUCCGCGUCUGAUUAGCCAGUUGGCGGGGUAACGGCCCACCAAAGCGACGAUCAGUAGCCGGCCUGAGAGGGUGAACGGCCACAUUGGGACUGAGACACGGCCCAAACUCCUACGGGAGGCAGCAGUGGGGAAUAUUGCACAAUGGGCGCAAGCCUGAUGCAGCAACGCCGCGUGAGUGAAGAAGUAUUUCGGUAUGUAAAGCUCUAUCAGCAGGGAAGAAAGGCUCUUCGGAGAGAUGACGGUACCUGACUAAGAAGCCCCGGCUAACUACGUGCCAGCAGCCGCGGUAAUACGUAGGGGGCAAGCGUUAUCCGGAUUUACUGGGUGUAAAGGGAGCGCAGACGGCAGUGCAAGUCUGAUGUGAAAGCCCGGGGCUCAACCCCGGAACUGCAUUGGAAACUGUACAGCUUGAGUGUCGGAGAGGUAAGCGGAAUUCCUAGUGUAGCGGUGAAAUGCGUAGAUAUUAGGAGGAACACCGGUGGCGAAGGCGGCUUACUGGACGAUUACUGACGUUGAGGCACGAAAGUGUGGGGAGCAAACAGGAUUAGAUACCCUGGUAGUCCACACCGUAAACGAUGAGCACUAGGUGUCGGGGUCGCAGGGCUUCGGUGCCGCAGUUAACGCAUUAAGUGCUCCGCCUGGGGAGUACGUACGCAAGUAUGAAACUCAAAGGAAUUGACGGGGACCCGC